AAUUUCUUGUCUGCCAUCCAGUGUUGUGAAGGAGAAAAGCAUUAAUGGCUCUGGCAGACUACGGAUAUUUGAUCUACCAAAGAUGAUGCUGAAGAAGGGCAAAAAACUGACAUAUUAUCAAGUGAUGUCAAUGUUUUCCAAAAUAGACGACGUGACUGAACUUAUCAGAGUUGGCACACCAAAGAAGAAAACCAUUCAGCAAUACAUCAGUGACCCUGCUAGAACUUACCCUUUGCUAGG